CCUACGGGAGGCAGCAGUGGGGGAUAUUGCACAAUGGGGGAAACCCUGAUGCAGCGACGCCGCGUGUGGGAAGACGGUCUUCUGGAUUGUAAACCACUGUCCCCAGGGACGAAAAUGACGGUACCUGGGGAGGAAGCUCCGGCUAACUACGUGCCAGCAGCCGCGGUAAUACGUAGGGAGCAAGCGUUGUCCGGAAUUACUGGGUGUAAAGCGCUCGUAGGCGGUAUGGCAAGUCAAGGGUGAAAUCCCCGCGCUCAACGUGGGAACUGCCUUUGAAACUGGCAAACUGGAGUGUGUGAGAGGAUAGUGGAAUUCCAGGUGUAGGAGUGAAAUCCGUAGAUAGUAGGAGGAACAUCAGUGGCGAAGGCGACUAUCUGGCACAUAACUGACGCUGAGGAGCGAAAGCGUGGGUAGCAAACAGGAUUAGAUACCCGGGUAGUC
rnacentral:rRNA from 1 species